AAGGAGAAGCUCCCACUAUCAAAUCCAAUCAGAAGCAAACAUCAUGGCUCGACGAUGCAAGUUGCGGAAAGGGAAUUCCAUCAAUAUUAACUUGGAAAAUGAGACUGAAAAUAAUGUUAACCAGAACUUUCAAGAAACUCAAGAGUUACACCAAAAUCAGGCUUCAAAUUUUCAAGGGAAUACUAGUCAGAAGACAAUGAGGUAUCG